GGGUUGUGAGGUUAAGCGACUAAGCGUACACGGUGGAUGCCCUGGCAGUCAGAGGCGAUGAAGGACGUGCUAAUCUGCGAUAAGCGUCGGUGAGGUGAUAUGAACCGUUAUAACCGGCGAUUUCCGAAUGGGGAAACCCAGUGUGUUUCGACACACUAUCAUUAACUGAAUCCAUAGGUUAAUGAGGCGAACCGGGGGAACUGAAAC
rnacentral:rRNA from 1 species